CCUGGUGAUGAUAAGCUUAGGGGAAGCACACGUUCUCAUUCCGAACACGCUCGUUAAGCCCUAAGCUGCUGAUGGUAGUGCUGUGUACUGCAGUGUGAGAGUAGGUGAUUGCCAGGC
rnacentral:rRNA from 1 species